rnacentral:rRNA from 1 species
ACGGGAGGCAGCAGUGAGGAAUAUUGCACAAUGGGGGAAACCCUGAUGCAGCGUCGCCGCGUGAGUGAAGAAGUAUUUCGGUAUGUAAAGCUCUAUCAGCAGGGAAGAAAAUGACGGUACCUAACUAAGAAGCCCCGGCUAACUACGUGCCAGCAGCCGCGGUAAUACGUAGGGGGCAAGCGUUAUCCGGAUUUACUGGGCGUAAAGGGUGCGUAGGCGGUUUUUUAAGUCAGAUGUGCAAUAAUCAGGCUCAACCUGGUGGCUGCAUCUGAUACUGGAUAACUUGAGUGCAGGAGAGGAAAGUGGAAUUCCUAGUGUAGCGGUGGAAUGCGUAGAUAUUAGGAGGAACACCAGUGGCGAAGGCGACUUUCUGGACUGUAACUGACGCUGAGGCACGAAAGUGUGGGGAGCAAACAGGAUUAGAUACCCUGGUA